CCUACGGGUGGCUGCAGUGGGGAAUUUUGGACAAUGGGGGCAACCCUGAUCCAGCCAUGCCGCGUGCGGGAAGAAGGCCUUCGGGUUGUAAACCGCUUUUGUUUGGGAAGAAAUCGACCUCGCUAAUACCGGGGUUGGAUGACGGUACCGGAAGAAUAAGCACCGGCUAACUACGUGCCAGCAGCCGCGGUAAUACGUAGGGUGCGAGCGUUAAUCGGAAUUACUGGGCGUAGAGCGGCCGCUGGGGGUUGAAAGCCCCGGGCUUAACCUGGGAACUGCAUUUGAAACUACGAGGCUAGAGUGUGUCAGAGGGGGGUAGAAUUCCACGUGUAGCAGUGAAAUGCGUAGAGAUGUGGAGGAAUACCGAUGGCGAAGGCAGCCCCCUGGGAUAACACUGACGCUCAUGCACGAAAGCGUGGGGAGCAAACAGGAUUAGAUACCCUGGUAGUC
rnacentral:rRNA from 1 species